UACACGACCGUACCGCAAACCGACACUGGUGCGCGAGAUGAGUAUUCUAAGGCGCUUGAGAGAACUCAGGAGAAGGAACUCGGCAAAUUGACACCGUAACUUCGGAAGAAGGUGUGCCUUUAGUAGGUGAACCUGUACAAGGGGAGCCCAAUGAGGUUGCAAAAAAUCGGUGGCUGCGACUGUUUAAUAAAAACACAGCACUCUGCAAACACGAAAGUGGACGUAUAGGGUGUGACGCCUGCCCGGUGCUGGAAGAUUAAAUGAUGGGGUGCAAGCUCUUGAUUGAAGUCCCAGUAAACGGCGGCCGUAACAAUAACGGUCCUAAGGUAGCGAAAUUCCUUGUCGGGUAAGUUCCGACCUGCACGAAUGGCGUAACGAUGGCCACACUGUCUCCUCCUGAGACUCAGCGAAGUUGAAAUGUUUGUGAUGAUGCAAUCUCCCCGCGGAAAGACGGAAAGACCCCAUGAACCUUUACUGUAGCUUUGUAUUGGACUUUGAACAGAUCUGUGUAGGAUAGGUGGGAGGCUUUGAAGUGUGGUCGCUAGAUCGCAUGGAGCCAACGUUGAAAUACCACCCUGGUGUGUUUGAGGUUCUAACCUAGGCCCGUAAUCCGGGUCGGGGACAGUGCAUGGUAGGCAGUUUGACUGGGGCGGUCUCCUCCCAAAGCGUAACGGAGGAGUUCGAAGGUACGCUAGGUACGGUCGGACAUCGUGCUAAUAGUGCAAUGGCAUAAGCGUGCUUAACUGCGAGACUGACAAGUCGAGCAGAUGCGAAAGCAGGACAUAGUGAUCCGGUGGUUCUGUAUGGAAGGGCCAUCGCUCAACGGAUAAAAGGUACUCUGGGGAUAACAGGCUGAUACCGCCCAAGAGUUCAUAUCGACGGCGGUGUUUGGCACCUCGAUGUCGGCUCAUCUCAUCCUGGGGCUGUAGCCGGUCCCAAGGGUAUGGCUGUUCGCCAUUUAAAGAGGUACGUGAGCUGGGUUUAAAACGUCGUGAGACAGUUUGGUCCCUAUCUUCCGUGGGCGCUGCAGAUUUGAGGAAGCCUGCUCCUAGUACGAGAGGACCGGAGUGGACACACCUCUGGUGUAUCGGUUGUCACGCCAGUGGCAUUGCCGAGUAGCUAUGUGUGGAAGAGAUAACCGCUGAAAGCAUCUAAGCGGGAAACUCGUUUCAAGAUGAGAUCUGCCGGGGCCUUGAGCCCCCUAAAGAGUCGUUCAAGACCAGGACGUUGAUAGGUCGGGUGUGGAAGCGCAGUAAUGCGUUAAGCUAACCGAUACUAAUUGCUCGUGCGGCUUGACCA
rnacentral:rRNA from 1 species